rnacentral:rRNA from 1 species
UACGAACGCUGGCGGCAGGCCUAACACAUGCAAGUCGAGCGGAGCGGCGGACGGGUGAGUAAUGCCUAUGAAUCUGCCUGGUAGUGGGGGAUAACUUCCUUAUACGGGCGCUAAUACCGCAUACUUUCAGUUGAGCCUAGGUCGGAUUAGCUAGUUGGGGGGGUAAAGGCCUACAAAGGCGACGAUCCGUAACUGGUCUGAGAGGAUGAUCAGUCACACUGGAACUGAGACACGGUCCAGACUCCUACGGUAGGCAGCAGUGGGGAAUAGUGGACAAUGGGCGAAAGCCGGAUCCAGCCAUGCCGCGUGUGUGAAGAAGGUCUUCGGAGUGUAAAGCACUUUAAGUUGGGAGGCGUUACCAACAGAAUAAGCACCGGCUAACUUCGUGCCAGCAGCCGCGGUAAUUC